rnacentral:rRNA from 1 species
CAGCAGCCGCGGGAAUACGGAGGGUGCAAGCGUUAUCCGGAUUCACUGGGUUUAAAGGGUGCGUAGGCGGAUCUGUAAGUCAGUGUUGAAAUCUCCAGGCUUAACCUGGAAACUGCCGUUGAUACUAUAGGUCUUGAAUUUUGUGGAGGUUAGCGGAAUAUGUCAUGUAGCGGUGAAAUGCAUAGAUAUGACAUAGAACACCAAUUGCGAAGGCAGCUGGCUACACAACUAUUGACGCUGAGGCACGAAAGCGUGGGGAUCAAACAGGAUUAGAUACCCGUGUAGUCCCUGUCUCUUAUAC